rnacentral:rRNA from 1 species
AUACGGAGGGUGCAAGCGUUAUCCGGAAUCAUUGGGUUUAAAGGGUCCGCAGGCGGAUUAAUAAGUCAGUGGUGAAAUCCUCUCGCUCAACGAGAGAACUGCCAUUGAAACUGUUAGCCUUGAAUUCGGUCGAAGUAGGCGGAAUGUGUCAUGUAGCGGUGAAAUGCAUAGAUAUGACACAGAACACCGAUAGCGAAGGCAGCUUACUAGACCUGGAUUGACGCUCAUGGACGAAAGCGUGGGGAGCGAACAGGAUUAGAAACCCCAGUAGUCC